rnacentral:rRNA from 1 species
GAUGAACGCUGGCGCGUUCCUUAUUCAUUCCAGUCGAGCGAACGGACGGGAAGCUUUCUUCUCUUAUGUUUGCGGCGGACGGGUGAGGAACACGUGGGAAACCUACCUAUAAGACUUGGAUAAAUUCGGGGAACCGUAGCUAAUACCGGGUAAUAUUUUUAACCGCAUGGUUUAAAAAUUGAAGGCGGUCUUGCUGUCACCUAUAGAAGGAUCCGCGCUGCAUUAGCUAGUUGGUAAGGUAACGGCUUACCAAGGCAACGAUGCAUAGCCGACCUGAGAGGGUGAUCGGCCACACUGGAACUGAGACACGGUCCAGACUCCUACGGGAGGCAGCAGUAGGGAAUCUUCCGCAAUGGGCGAAAGCCUGACGGAGCAACGCCGCGUGAGUGAUGAAGGUCUUCGGAUCGUAAAACUCUGUUAUUAGGGAAGAACAUAUGUGUAAGUAACUGUGCACAUCUUGACGGUACCCAAUCAGAAAGCCACGGCUAACUACGUG